UCCUUAACUUGAGGGUGAACAACUUAAAGCUUGAUCCUACAGUUACCUGAAAAGUGAUUUGAGUAUUCAUUGAACUGAAAGAACAAAUCGCCUACUUCAGGCGGUGGCAAGCGUAUGGAAAUUAUAUUAGAACUUCAGCAAAGUGCACAGCUGCAUAAUAGAGAAGCCGGCACUCAGAUUGACAGGCAAAUAAGCCAGCUUGUGGAAGGGGCCUCUGGGUGGCAGCUCUGGGCUUUUGGGUGUUGGACAACCAUAGGCAAAACUGAAAUGGAACAGGGGCAGAAAAUAGCACACUUUUACUCUACGCAACUGUUGCUUUUUCAUGAUCUUCAGGAAUUUUACUGGGAUAAUUAUCCAAAUAAAUUGCAAGCAUUCUAUCCAAAUGGACAUCCAUAAAAAUUCAUCAGAGAGCAUUUUACUACUGAGCUGCAAAGGUAGGAAAAAUAAAUUUUUUUUGGUUAGAAAAUAUACUUCUUUCAUCUGCGUUUCAAUAAUUUAUUCCCCUUGUUAGAUAUACAUGGAAUUGAUAUUGCUUAUUCUGACUAAGUGAAAAGUGUUAUUUCUACUUACUGCUCAAUUAGAAACAUGUAGUGUUUAAUUGUCAGUUUGAAUUUUUCUUUCAUACUAUUACAGUUUAUAUUUUACUAUAGGCAGAAUUUCCUCUUUAUCCUAAAUUUUGAUAUUCUCCAUAAUUUCAUCGUGCCUUGACAUUGCUGUAUAUAAUUUCUAUACAUCAGGAAGGCAAUUCUGUGUGCAUGUGUGUGUGUAUAUAUAUAGUUAGAAGUUAGAAACUGAAACUCUUUUUUGUCUACCAUCAUUUCAUAUUUUUCUUGCUAUUUCAAACCUAUAAUUUUUAAAGAAACGACUAACGUAAUCAUUCAUAGAAUAUGCUGUCAGUAACUUAACAAUAUAAAUGUUAACAUGGAGGCAUUUAGUUCAGCAUUUGCUUUACUUAAUAGAGUGCAGAAAAUGUGGCCCUUUUCUCAGUUAGGGUGUAUGUGAAGAUAAAUUUAGAAUUUCUAGACUAGUAAAUACUUCUCUGAUAAUAACUUAAUUAUAGCUAUUUCAAACCAAAUUGUUUAAUUGUGGUGAAUCAUAUGUAAAUUGUUCAGAUGUAGGUCAACACCCACGCCCACAUUCUAGCACCUCUUUCCUAAUUCAAGACAACUUUGCAGUGCCUAAAAGAGCUGAACAGUGCAGAUUAGAGACAUAAGA
rnacentral:lncRNA from 1 species